rnacentral:rRNA from 1 species
UACGUAGGGGGCAAGCGUUGUCCGGAAUUACUGGGCGUAAAGCGCGUGUAGGCGGGACGGCAAGUCCGGCGUGAAAGGCUGCGGCUCAACCGCAGACGGCCGCUGGAAACUGCCGUUCUUGAGGGUCGAAGAGGAGAGUGGAAUUCCUGGUGUAGCGGUGAAAUGCGUAGAGAUCAGGAGGAACACCCGUGGCGAAGGCGGCUCUCUGGGACGGUACUGACGCUGAGACGCGAAAGCGUGGGGAGCGAACAGG